GACAGAGGGUGCGAACGUUGUUCGGAAUUACUGGGCGUAAAGCGCGUGUAGGCGGCAGCGCAAGUCGGGCGUGAAAUCCCACGGCUCAACCGUGGAAGUGCACUCGAAACUGCGCAGCUAGAGUCCUGGAGAGGAAGGUGGAAUGCUUGGUGUAGCGGUGAAAUGCGUAGAUAUCGGGAGGAACAUCAGUGGCGAAGGCGGCCUUCUGGUCCAGUACUGACACUCAAGUGCGAAAGCGUGGGGAGCAAACAGG
rnacentral:rRNA from 1 species